GAUGAACGCUGGCGGCGUGCCUAAUACAAGCAAGUCGAGCGAAUGGAUUAAGAGCUUGCUCUUAUGAAGUUAGCGGCGGACGGGUGAGUAACACGUGGGUAACCUGCCCAUAAGACUGGGAUAACUCCGGGAGACCGGGGCUAAUACCGGAUAACAUUUUGAACCGCAUGGUUCGAAAUUGAAAGGCGGCUUCGGCUGUCACUUAUGGAUGGACCCGCGUCGCAUUAGCUAGUUGGUGAGGUAACGGCUCACCAAGGCAACGAUGCGUAGCCGACCGGGGGGGGUGUACGGCCAGACGGGGACAGAGAAACGGCCCAGACUCCUACGGGAGGCAGCAGUAGGGAAUCUUCCGCAAUGGACGAAAGUCUGACGGAGCAACGCCGCGGGAGUGAUGAAGGCUUUCGGGUCGUAAAACUCUGUUGUUAGGGAAGAACAAGUGCUAGUUGAAUAAGCUGGCACCUUGACGGUACCUAACCAGAAAGCCACGGCUAACUACGUGCCAGCAGCCGCCGUAA
rnacentral:rRNA from 1 species